GUCUACAGACAUACCAUCCUUAACACACUGCUUUUGUCUGAUCUUGGAAACUAAGCAGGGUCGGGCCUGGUUAGUAUUUGGAUAGGAUGUAGACA
ensembl:rRNA 5S_rRNA 5S ribosomal RNA